rnacentral:rRNA from 1 species
UCGAAAUCGAACGGAAGAACGACCCGCGAACCGUCUUUGCGUAACGAACCGAGCUCGCGAGCAGCAAACGCUCGCGCGUCUCGUGUCGCGUCGGCGCGGUCCUCGAAAGGGCCACGCCGCACCGACAAACUAACAAUGUCAGCACGGAUCGUGCCAAGGAGCUGUACAUGCGAGAGUCGCCGUCCCAUGCCCCCGGUCCCCCUCGACUGGGGGCGGGUGACAUGCGCGAUCUCCGCUCUUAGUCUUAAUGACUCUCGGCAACGGAUAUCUCGGCUCUUGCAUCGAUGAAGAACGUAGCGAAAUGCGAUACUUGGUGUGAAUUGCAGAAUCCCGCGAACCAUCAAUUCUUUGAACGCAAGUUGCGCCCGAAGCCAUCCGGCCGAGGGCACGCCUGCCUGGGUGUCGUGAAUCCCCUUGCCCCCGGGCACCCGCACGAGCAUCGUCGCGGAUAUGCCCGGGCGCAGAAUAUGGUCUCCCGUCGGAUCGGCGUGCGCUGCACGUCGUGGGGCGGUUGGCCGAAAAUCGAGCAUUGCGACGUCGGGCUCCACGGCGUUCGGUGGAUCGAACGCGAUUGGCUGCGCCGUGGUCCCGUCAUGCCGCGGGCUCCGGACUACGACGAUUCCCGUG